GAUGAACGCUGGCGGUAUGCUUAACACAUGCAAGUCGAACGGUGUCUUCGGACACAGUGGCGGACGGGUGAGUAACGCGUGAGAAUCUGCCUUCAGGUUUGGGACAACCACUGGAAACGGUGGCUAAUACCGAAUGUGCCGAGAGGUGAAAGGCUUGCUGCCUAAAGAAGAGCUCGCGUCUGAUUAGCUAGUAGGUGUGGUAAGAGCGCACCUAGGCGACGAUCAGUAGCUGGUCUGAGAGGAUGAUCAGCCACACUGGGACUGAGACACGGCCCAGACUCCUACGGGAGGCAGCAGUGGGGAAUUUUCCGCAAUGGGCGAAAGCCUGACGGAGCAAUACCGCGUGAGGGAGGAAGGCUCUUGGGUUGUAAACCUCUUUUCUCAGGGAAGAACACAAUGACGGUACCUGAGGAAUCAGCAUCGGCUAACUCCGUGCCAGCAGCCGCGGUAAUACGGAGGAUGCAAGCGUUAUCCGGAAUGAUUGGGCGUAAAGCGUCCGCAGGUGGCUAUGUAAGUCUGCUGUCAAAGAGCAAAGCUCAACUUUGUAAAGGCAGUGGAAACUACAUGGCUAGAGUGCGUUCGGGGCAGAGGGAAUUCCUGGUGUAGCGGUGAAAUGCGUAGAGAUCAGGAAGAACACCGGUGGCGAAGGCGCUCUGCUAGGCCGCAACUGACACUGAGGGACGAAAGCUAGGGGAGCGAAUGGGAUUAGAUACCCCAGUAGUCCUAGCCGUAAACGAUGGAUACUAGGCGUGGCUUGUAUCGACCCGAGCCGUGCCGUAGCUAACGCGUUAAGUAUCCCGCCUGGGGAGUACGCACGCAAGUGUGAAACUCAAAGGAAUUGACGGGGGCCCGCACAAGCGGUGGAGUAUGUGGUUUAAUUCGAUGCAACGCGAAGAACCUUACCAAGACUUGACAUGUCGCGAACCUUUGUGAAAGCAGAGGGUGCCUUCGGGAGCGCGAACACAGGUGGUGCAUGGCUGUCGUCAGCUCGUGUCGUGAGAUGUUGGGUUAAGUCCCGCAACGAGCGCAACCCUCGUUUUUAGUUGCCAGCAUUAAGUUGGGCACUCUAGAGAGACUGCCGGUGACAAACCGGAGGAAGGUGGGGAUGACGUCAAGUCAGCAUGCCCCUUACGUCUUGGGCUACACACGUACUACAAUGCUACGGACAGAGGGCAGCAAGCUAGCGAUAGCAAGCUAAUCCCGUAAACCGUAGCUCAGUUCAGAUCGCAGGCUGCAACUCGCCUGCGUGAAGGAGGAAUCGCUAGUAAUUGCAGGUCAGCAUACUGCAGUGAAUUCGUUCCCGGGCCUUGUACACACCGCCCGUCACACCAUGGAAGCUGGCAACGCCCGAAGUCAUUACUCCAACCCUUCGGGGGGGAGGAUGCCUAAGGCAGUGCUGGUGACUGGGGUGAA
rnacentral:rRNA from 1 species